rnacentral:rRNA from 1 species
AGCGAACGCUGGCGGCAGGCUUAACACAUGCAAGUCGAGCGGGCGUAGCAAUACGUCAGCGGCAGACGGGUGAGUAACGCGUGGGAACAUACCUUUUGGUUCGGAACAACACAGGGAAACUUGUGCUAAUACCGGAUAAGCCCUUACGGGGAAAGAUUUAUCGCCGAAAGAUUGGCCCGCGUCUGAUUAGCUAGUUGGUGAGGUAACGGCUCACCAAGGCGACGAUCAGUAGCNGGUCUGAGAGGAUGAUCAGCCACAUUGGGACUGAGACACGGCCCAAACUCCUACGGGAGGCAGCAGGUGGGGAAUAUUGGACAAUGGGGGCAACCCUGAUCCAGCAAUGCCGCGUGAGUGAUGAAGGCCUUAGGGUU